GUCUCUGAGACGGUGAGGGGGCGGGGCCAGGCUGUGAUUGAGUGGCAUUAAAUUGCAUGGGGGAGGGGGGCAGGAAACAACGGACCCCGCCCCCUCGUCUAGUUCUGAGCCUGCAGGCGGCGCUUCCGGGGGAGGGGGCGCAGGUCUCCAAGGUGACGAAAUGUGCAACAUCGGCCUACCAAUAGAGAACACCAAGGAGCAGGAGGAAGAGGAGGAGGAGGAAGCCGUUACUGGGACAGUACAGGGCACACAGUUGCCUGAUGAAGGAUGCAUUCCCCCCAGUGUAGCACCGGUGCCAUCUGGAGGGCAGCCAGCACCAGCUGCCCAGGCUCACCACCAGGCAUGGCUCCUGGACAUGUUGGAUGACGUGCGCUACCUCAUCUCCUGCACCAAUUGGUAUUAGGCUGGUUCCCUUGGACCCACCAACUGCCUUCGUUAAGAUAAACUGUCAGACAAAUCCCUACCCUGUCUCAUCGGCCAAGAAGGACUGCAGGGCUUUUGGUGAGGAAGCCGGGCCUGUCUCUUAAUAACAGCUGGGAAAGAAAUAGCCCCUUUCACCUUUGGCUUUUACACAAUACUGCUGCAUUACUCACAGAUACGGCAUUUUCCACCGUGUGCUAUAAAGCUUUGAGUAACAACAUUGCUUAUCUGGUCCACCUGAUUUUGUGGAAGAUGUUCCUAAACUAGGUAGCUUCUCAAACUUUUAGAAGCGGGAACCAUUUCCAAGUUUCCUUUGCAAGUGGGUCCCGCAAUGUACAGUAACUCGACCCUGCUUUCCCCACGCAGACUUGAAAUGCAGGAAUCUCACAACAGUUAGCACUGAACAAGUUCCAUGGUUAGAAAUAGAGAACAUUACUGAACAACAUACUGCCUUUCAUGGCCAUUUCGCACCUUUGGGGGAGGCUGGGAAUCCAGGUUCCCCAUGAAGCUUUCCUGAUCGUUCUCUUCCAGUUCACUCUACUCUUCUUCCUUCCUCCCCUAAUAUUAGUUCAGCAGAUUUGGAUGCUGUCUCUUAUAUACCCCUUGUCAAGUAGUCUUGAAAAGAACUACUUGAUUGUUUCCCUGUGCGUGGUGUAACCAGAUCUUAAAAUUGUCUGGCAGCCACGUUCUAGCUCUUUAGUGUUAUCCAGGGUGCACCGCAAGGAGGCAAGCUAGAAUUACAAGAUAGCAGGACCCGAAUACAAUUGUGGUGUAGACACCAAACUAUUUUUCAUCUGUCACAGGAAUGCUUUCCAGGGAGAUGUGACAGAGCUCUUUGAACUUUCUCCAGCUGCAGUUGAAUGGAUUGAAGAUUAGUGGGAUUGCUCAACCUGUGUGAAUACACAUUGUAUCAACUUGGUUACUUAUUUUCAUAUCAUAUGAUUUCUGUGUGUAAUUCUGCCGUACAAUAAAUUAAUAAACCUCCCUCAAUCUCA